CCUUCGACCCCUCCAGCCCUCAGCGCCUGGUCUGGAGGGUGGGCAUGGCGUGUCUGGGCCUUGCCCUCUGGAAAGGCGGUGGGGGGAGCCCCGUGUUCUUUGCUGUGGCGGAAUGCGAUGGGAACCCAGCCACGGGGCUCCGGAGCCAGCACUCGCCUGCUUCUGCAGAGUUGGCUCCGCCCCACGCCCCGAACCCCCACCUCGGCUCAAAGCCUCCAGGAACUCUGUGGCUGCUGGGGGUCCCAGGGCUGAUCUGCCUCCCUCCUUCGUCUCGGUUUUAGAAGUGACCACUUUGCAACAUGCGUCCAGAAUUCAUACAUCUCAGCUCUUCUCACUAGAAGGCUUCCUUUAUGACGUCAAAAUCCUUCCUGCGCCGAGCUCUGAGUAGUUGUGCGUUUGUGCUUUGACUGAUGGAGAAGACAUCCUCCAGCAAAAAGCCGCCGUGAAUUCAGAAAUACUUUUUUAAAAGUUGGAAACCACCCUCUUGUCUUCAGCUCUUGGAAUCUCGCGGGUUCCCAGGCAUGUUCGAACACGUUGCUGCUUUGUCCUGAGAUGACCCUUACUCAGGGCCUGGCCCAGCCUCUUCUGAGAAGUCCCCUGAUCAUCGUCCACUGCUACCCAGCAAGUGGCUCUGACCUGCGGCCUCUGAGGCACGGCUGGUGCCCUGUCUUUGUCGGGCUCUGCCUCAUCAUUUGCCACAGUGUCGUGUGAUUUGGUUGCUGGGGACAAGAGCUUGGGUGUCUGUGACCCCAGGUUUGUGUCUUAGCUAAAGCAUCUUCUAGGUUUGUGACACGGGAAAGUCUCUCCCUUCUCUCUUUCUGAGGGUUAGGUUCCUUUUAUCAUUUAACGUCACUGAGGAGGCUACUCCUACCUGUCUGCCCAGCACGGCUUACUUCCUGUCUGGUAAGAGUCCUCCCUCCCUCCUUCCCACUGCCCCUCCCUCCCCCCCUUCUUCCUGCCCUCAUUCCCUUCUGUCCUUCCUUCCCUUUCUAGUUCUAAAUAAGGAAUCCAUCCCUGUGAUUUGGUGCAGCUAUGGUGCUGAGCAGGUGUUUAGGCCAUUACAAGUGCUCCAUUCCCUGGUCGCAGAGAUUGGUUUAAAGUCAGUCAGGUAUCCCCAGAUGAGCUGAUCUGAAUCAGUCUGGAACUUUCUACAAGGAAGUCUUUUCCAUUGCUAACCAGAUAGGAUGUGGUUCUAAGGUGGACAGCCACAGAGAGAAAGUCUGUCUGAAGAACUGGAAAUAAACACUAAACCUUGAGGAAACCAGCCACUGCUGAAGACAGAGGUCAUGGGGACUUCCCGUUCCCCAGUCAACACGUCCUCCUUUCCCACUCCUUUUCAACUUUAGUUAAUAUGCGUCAAGUUUAUUUUGUUGCAACAGAUAGAGAAGGCUCUCAGCUCGAUGGUCUGCUCUCUGGUUAGCUUUGCGAUCAGGUCGGCCCCACUUCC
rnacentral:lncRNA from 1 species